rnacentral:rRNA from 1 species
AACCUCCGCAAUGUGAGAAAUCGCGACGGGGGGAUCCCAAGUGCCAUUCUUAACGGGAUGGCUUUUCUUAAGUGUAAAAAGCUUUUGGAAUAAGAGCUGGGCAAGACCGGUGCCAGCCGCCGCGGUAACACCGGCAGCUCUAGUGGUAGCUGUUUUUAUUGGGCCUAAAGCGUUCGUAGCCGGUUUGAUAAGUCACUGGUGAAAUCCUGUAGCUUAACUGUGGGAAUUGCUGGUGAUACUGUUGAACUUGAGGUCGGGAGAGGUUAGCGGUACUCCCAGGGUAGAGGUGAAAUUCUGUAAUCCUGGGAGGACCACCUGUGGCGAAGGCGGCUAACUGGAACGAACCUGACGGUGAGGGACGAAAGCUAGGGGCGCGAACCGGAUUAGAUACCCGGGUAGUCCUAGCCGUAAACGAUGCGGACUCGGUGUUGGGAUGGCUUUGAGCCGCUCCGGUGCCGAAGGGAAGCUGUUAAGUCCGCCGCCUGGGAGUACGUCGCAAGACUGAACUUAAGGAAUU